UAGUAUCGUCUUUCGUCUUGAAGGCGCUGCGAGCGACACCCCUGCAAUAGGUGGUGCAUUCGACAAGGAAGGGUUGAGAAGACAGAGAAAAAGGAAACCGCUGAGACAUUUUUCCUUUUACACCUGAUUUUCGACAUCUGUCAUUCUCGAGAAUAUGAUCAUGUGGAUUGUAUCGAGGAUAUAUGGUCAUCAUACGGUGUAAUUAAUGCAAGCCGCGUUGUGCAUGCUCGAUUUAUCAGAGUGAAUUUAUAGUGAAUUUUAUAAUAUUAUAAAAUACGUAAACGGAUCAUUAGCUACUGAUAUGGACGAGGAAAGAUUUAGAAAUAGAGGAGAGUGAGAUUUUUCGAUUCCUUUCGAGUAGGCGCGGUUCAAUUAUGCGCUUGUGAUUUGUGGAUUGAUACAUCGAAUCGCGCCGAAUCCCCUCCCCCUUUUCGAUGCAAAUCAAUCCUUCAUCCCGGUUCAUCUAUAUAUUUUGCAUGUUCUAUGACACUUUAUACGUCAGGCGUCGCCAAUUGCAAAGUAUCGUAAUGUUCCUAGAAGAUCUUCUAGGGACAUUCAUUCCCUAGCUUGCGCGCCUUAUUUACUGCGCAACAUGUAUUGCGCAUUUGUACGAAGAGGAUCAUCCUGGAGCGAUCGAUCUUAUCGAACUUCUUCAACAUACACAGUGUUGUGCAAACCACGUCGCACGAUUUCGUUGUAUCCGACGCAGAUAAUAUCUGGAUCAUC